rnacentral:lncRNA from 1 species
UCCCCUUUCUCGCCUUCCGUCUUGGGACACCGCAUUGACUUCUCUUCUGAUUCUCCCACUCCUCCUAAGCCUCCCAGGAAAGUUCCCAAGACACCCCACAAGGCAAGUUCUCCUUCUUCUUCUUCACUUGCAAUGCAUUUGAAAUUACCUGUUAGGGUCUAGGAUGUUCAAAUAAUAGUGAUCCAAGUUUCAAUGUUAUGCCUAGAAUCUUGGGUGAAGUAACAUUAUAAAUUGUUACCUAUGAUUAUAAUUGUGCAGGUUCUGGAUGCACCAUCACUUCAGGAUGAUUUCUACUUGAAUCUGGUGGACUGGUCCUCACAGAAUGUUCUUGCCGUUGCGCUAGGCACUUGUGUUUAUCUAUGGAGCGCUUCUAACAGCAAAGUA